rnacentral:rRNA from 1 species
GACGAACGCUGGCGGCGUGCUUAACACAUGCAAGUCGAACGCUGAAGCUCAGCUUUUGUUGGGUGGAUGAGUGGCGAACGGGUGAGUAACACGUGAGUAACCUGCCCCCUUCUUUGGGAUAACGCCCGGAAACGGGUGCUAAUACUGGAUAUUCACUGGUCUUCGCAUGGGGGUUGGUGGAAAGGGUUUUUCUGGUGGGAGAUGGGCUCGCGGCCUAUCAGCUUGUUGGUGGGGUGAUGGCCUACCAAGGCUUUGACGGGUAGCCGGCCUGAGAGGGUGACCGGUCACAUUGGGACUGAGAUACGGCCCAGACUCCUACGGGAGGCAGCAGUGGGGAAGAUUGCACAAUGGGCGCAAGCCUGAUGCAGCGACGCCGCGUGAGGGAUGGAGGCCUUCGGGUUGUGAACCUCUUUCGCUCAUGGUCAAGCCGCAACAAUGGUUGUGGUGAGGGUAGUGGGUAAAGAAGCGCCGGCUAACUACGUG